rnacentral:rRNA from 1 species
UACGACUACAUAUCAGGCAUAUCAAUAAGCGGAGGAAAAGAAACUAACAAGGAUUCCCUUAGUAACGGCGAGUGAAGCGGGAAGAGCUCAAAUUUGAAAUCUUCAAGGUUCUACCUUGACGAAUUGUAGUUUAAAGAAGUGUUUUCUGUUAGAUGAGUAGCAAAAGUUCCUUGGAAUGGGACAUCAUAGAGGGUGAGAAUCCCGUAUUUGGUUAUUCAUUCUAGCUUUGUGAUACACUUUCAAAGAGUCGGAUUGUUUGGGAAUGCAGUCCAGAAUGGGUGGUAAAUUUCAUCUAAAGCUAAAUAUUGGCGAGAGACCGAUAGCGAACAAGUACCGUGAGGGAAAGAUGAAAAGAACUUUGAAAAGAGAGCUAAACAGUACGUGAAAUUGUCAAAAGGGAAGCGUUUGACACCAGUGUUGUUUUUCCAAAAAUCAAUUACGAAUGGCUUGAUUUUGUGUUGUAUUGACCUUAUCAGCUUUCUGCACUUUUUUCGAGUCUUUCUUAAUGCACUUUUCGGUUAACAAGUCAACAUCAAUUUCUUUUGUUGUAAAAGAGUAUAGGAAGGUGGCUUACUCUUCGGCGUAAAGUGUUUAUAGCCUUUAUACUCUACAAUCGGAGAGAUUGAGGUCUGCAGCGUAGAUCCUUCGGGGUUAGAUACAUUUGUGCUAAGUUGUAGCUUUUCAUAGACAACUUGUUGACUAUGUUUAGUCAUGCGGCUUACUCGCUUGUGCUAUUUUACCUACGCUUAGGAUGUUGAGUAGCGACAUACGCAC